rnacentral:rRNA from 1 species
AGAGAUGUGUGAUGACGCAUAUCAAUAAGCGGAGGAAAAGAAACUAACUAGGAUUCCCUCAGUAACGGCGAGUGAAGCGGGAAGAGCUCAAAUUUGAAAUCUUCAAGGGUUUCCCUUGACGAAUUGUAGUUUAAAGAAGUGUUUUCUGUUAGAGAGGUGGUAAAAGUUCUUUGGAAUAGGACAUCAUAGAGGGUGAGAAUCCCGUAUUUGAUCAUUCCUUCUAAGCUUUGUGAUACACUUUCAAAGAGUCGGAUUGUUUGGGAAUGCAGUCCAAAAUGGGUGGUAAAUUUCAUCUAAAGCUAAAUAUUGGCGAGAGACCGAUAGCGAACAAGUACCGUGAGGGAAAGAUGAAAAGAACUUUGAAAAGAGAGUUAAACAGUACGUGAAAUUGUCAAAAGGGAAGCGUUUGACACCAGUGUUGUUUUUCCGAAAAUCAAUUACGAAUGGUUUGAUUUUGAGAGUUAUGACCUUCAUACGCUUGCUUCUCUCUUUACUGUACUUUCGUAAUGCACUUUUCGGUUAGCAAGUCAACAUCAAUUUCUUUUGUUGUAAAAGGGUAUGAGGAAGGUGGCUUUACUUUCGGAGUAAAGUGUUUAUAGCCUUGUAGCCUCUGCAAUCGGAGAGAUUGAGGUCUGCAGCGUAGAUCCUUCGGGGUUAGAUACAGUUUGUGCUAAGUUAUAGCCUUUCAUAGACAACUUGUUGACUAUGUUAGUCUUGUAGACUUACUCGCUUAUGCUAUUUUACCUACGCUUAGGAUGUUGAAGAUGUAGCACAUCAU